GCCUACGUGGCGGAAUUGGUAGACGCGGUAGAUUUAGAUUCUAGUCCCAGCAAUGGGGCGCAAAGCUCAACUCUUGCCGUGGGCACCA
rnacentral:tRNA from 1 species